rnacentral:lncRNA from 1 species
AUUUGAGUUGGUUUAUGGUGAAGUUUUUUGAGUCUCUGAUUGCUCAACUGUCGGGUCCAUCGCCGACCAAACCUGUUGAAGAAAUGGAAACUUCUGGGUUCAUUCUAGUCGCUGGAGCAACAGGUGGCGUUGGGAGAAGGGUGGUUGAUAUCCUGAGGAAAAAAGGCUUGCCAGUUCGAGCUUUAGUAUAUCAGUCUUCCCAUUUUCAGCUUAUUGGUUUUCUAUUUGUUGUGCUUUCAUCAAAUUCAAACCGCAUGCUAUUUGUACAACUUUUGAGAAGAGACAGAAUAAGUAUUGAUAAUGAUGUCUUUUUUCUUUUUCUCAACGGUUAGUUUUAUUUUAUUUUAUCUUUCAGGUCAGAAAUGAAGAGAAAGCGAGGAAGAUGUUAGGCCCAGACAUUGGAUUGGUUAGUUCAAUCACCACUUAUUGAUCAAAGUUAUUGUAAUAAUAUGGUUAGGCCCAGUUUUCUUGUAUAGAAGUUUCUUAAAUUACCAAUCAAACUCAAAAGGGAAGCUGAUGAGUGAAGUUAAAUUUAAUAUUAUAACAACAUUCUAACACCCACUUUACUUGUGAAUUUGAAAUUUGUGAAGAUCUAAGAAGUAUAAAUUAACAUUAAAUGAAGCAUAAAGGGCAUAAUGAGUUUUUGACUUUGAACAAUUACUGCUUUUAUCUUAAAUCACAACUCAACCCAAAAAUUACUGAUGACUAAAACUAAAUUUAAUAUUAUAUCACCAAUCUAACAAAGAUAUUGCAAAUGUAUCCUGGAUGAUAAUUGGCAAGUAAAAUGAAAGUAUGUACCAACUAACUUAACUGAGGCUUUGCUUUGAGAGAGAAGUAAAUACGUAUCUUAGGAAGUUGACUCAUUAAUUCUUAAUCAUUUGCCACUUCAAUUUUUUUCUACUGAUAAACUAAAAAAAUGUAUUAUUUUUCUUUAUCUUUCACUUCACUUCAACCAAGCUUUGACAGAUGUCAUUCCUUACCAUCAUAUCAUACAAGUAUAUGUGAAUUUUUAGCCAUAAACCAAAGUUGUCUGAAAACCAAACGACCAUAUAAUAUGCUGACUGAAGUAGCGCUAGGAGAAAUGGGAAUAAAAAAAUUAAGAAUACUAUUUUAAGUACUUCACAAUAGGUAGAUAUAGUAUUAUUAAGAAAUCACAUUCUGUUUGUGGUUUGCUCUUUUUUCCAAACUCUAUUCUGCUCGAACUUGUUUCAACUUUCAAGUACCUCCAAAUCAUUUUCCUUACCUUGAAAUAUCAGAUUGUUGGGGAUGUUACUAAGAGGAGCACUUUGGCACCUGAGAACUUAAAGGGAGUGAGAAAGGUAAUUAAUGCUGUCUCCGUCAUUGUUGGACCAAAGGAAGGAGACACUCCAGAAAGAGCAAAGUAUAGCCAAGUAUGUCUAUUGAUGUCUACUAUUAUUAUUUUUACCCUUCAAUCUAUGUCAGUAUAGGUAUUACUAUUUUAACUUUCUGACCAUUUGUCAAUUCCAGGAACUUAUUGUUUAUAUUCAAUUCCAUAUUUCUGCAGCAGCUUUCUGAUUCAAUCUUUGAUAUGGUGCAGGGAAUCAAGUUCUUUGAACCUGAGGUGACUAGCUAAAUGUCGGAGUCAGAUUUGAAUGAAUGUGAUUUGGGAGUUGAAACUAAAAGUUUUAGUUGACUUGGACAUGUAUGGUAGACAACGUAAGAAGUAAUGCUUCCUGGCGAGAUUGAUUUUAUGGUUAAUUGAUGCAGAUCAAAGGCGAUUCACCAGAUUUGGUGGAAUUUAUUGGAAUGCAAAACUUGAUCAAUGCUGUGAAGAGUGGUGUUGGACUCCGAAAUGGGAAGCUACUUUUUGGAUUUGAAGGUACACUUCGAUCAAGUUAUAGGUGAUUUUUCCUUUUGCUUUUGUGAGCCACUUGGUCCUAUUUGAAACAACUACCUGCUGUUAGAAAACAACUACCCGCUGAUUAGAAAACAACUACCAGCUGUAGCAUAUUGUAUUUCAUUUUCUACCUACAAAAUUUUAUUCCAAUGUUGAAAGAUGUAUUGCAAUUAUGGCAGCUGAUACAUAAAUGAUGAGCACCAUUUUCCUAUAUUCCAGCUCUAUAACUUAUGGAUGAUUCUUUAAUGGAUGAUUCUUUCCAUCUAUGCUUUGAAUCUGUUAGUUGACGCUCUGUAUGACCAAACAGAGGGUCUAGUGGCACCUCUAGAUUGCGUUAUUUGAUAUUUAUCUCUAAUAAUAAAUUGAUCUCUUCUUCUCGACAUAUCUUCUUCUACCAUGGACAUAGCUAACACAUUGUUAGUGAAUCACGUAAAUUAUGUGUCGAUGAUGCAAUCAUGUUCUAAGAGUAAUCUAGUUUAUUACUUCAUUAUUUGCAGGAAACAGUAUCAAAGAAAUUCCUUGGGGUGCUUUAGACGAUGUGGUAAUGGGUGGAGUAAGUGAAAGUUCAUUUCAAAUCGACAUGAACGGUGGUGAAAAUGGUGAACCAACUGGACUUUUUAAAGGUUUCUUCCUUUAACCCUUUAGACAGUGUACCAGUCCAAGAUUACGUCACUGUUAAUAGAAGUAACACAUUGUCAUCAAGAAUCUAAGUUUGGAUGCCUCUGUUUCAGGUGUUCUUUCAACUGCAAACAAUGGUGGCUUUACUAGUAUUCGGACAAGGGUAAUGUGCAUAUCUUGAAUAUUUCCUCUGCACAUGCCUUACAUUGUCAGAUAUCUAUAACUAAUUGUAAUCGCCUUUUUGUAAAGAAUGCUUGAUGGUCGUUUUUAGGUUAUGAAAAACAACUUCAUUAAGUAAGGAAUUUGUGACGAAUAUUCCUUUUAUAAAUUGAGAAUUAUUUUUUCAUCAUCAUCAAGAAAACCUAGAUUAUCAUUUUGAGUAGCAUUUGAGUAAUAUUUUGUUUCCAAAUUUGGAUUGCAUCAAAUUCUUUUUCUAUUGCUUAGGCUGAAUGACCAACCCUCAUCAUUUUUUUAUUGGUUCUUUUUCCUUCAUGUCUUUGCUUAUGACGAAUGGGAAUUACUGAUUGCUUCAUUUGUUCUUCAGACAGAUCAUUUUCUUUUCCUUUAGUUUCUUCUAUUAGUUUUCUUCAAUAAAGAGAUUGCUCUAUUACAUCCCCUAAUCUAAUGUUCUUCCAUGCUUUGUAUAUACAGAAUUUUUCUGUGCCAGAAGAUCUUUCUGCUUAUGAUGGAUUGGAGUUGCGUCUCAAAGGUGAUGGACGUCGGUAUAAACUGAUUAUCCGCACCGACACAGUCUGGGAUACUGUUGGUUAUACAGCCAGCUUUGACACUGCAAAAGGGGAAUGGCAGUCAGUGAGUAUCACUAUCAGACCUUUAUUGGGUGUUUGAAAAAGUGUCUUUAAACUCUUUUUUAAUCAAACUAUUAAUGACUGGUUAUAUUUCUUUUACCUCAAAUAUUCAGAUUCGUGUGCCAUUUACCUCUCUGAGGCCAAUCUUUCGAGCUCGUACUGUUACAGAUGCCCCACCUUUUGAUCCUACGAAUAUUGUGUCACUGCAGGCAAGAUUGCUUUUCUUUUAGUUUCUUCUCAUUUUCUCCCUUGCAUGGUGUUUUUCACAUGCACUUCAUAAUCAUGUGCAGCUCCUGUUUAGCAAGUUUGAGUAUGAUGGGAACCUCAACCCAACUUUUGUUGAAGGUCCAUUUCAACUUCCACUAUCAAGUAUAAGGGCUUAUAUAAAAUAUCCUCUAACUCCCAGGUUCACCGAAAAUACUAUCUUUUAGAACUCAGCUGAUUUUGAUCUCUUUCCAAUUUUCUUAAUCAGCUCCUCUCUCUGUUUAUCCACUCACAGGUUUGUCCAUGUGAGUUCAGCUGGAGUUACAAGACCUGAGAGGCCUGGGCUUGAUCUCAGCAAACAACCUCCUGCUGUCCGAUUGAAUAAAGAAUUGGAUUUUAUUCUUACAUCCAAAUUGAAGGUUUAAGACUAAUUCUAUUAAUACAUUCUUCUAGAAUUGGCCAGAUGAUCCAACUCUCAUAUAUGACUUCUUAUGUUCCAUUUCAUUUAAAUAUUGAUCAUUUCCUCUACAGGGAGAGGACUUAAUUCGGGAAAGUGGAAUUCCUUAUGCAAUAAUAAGACCUUGCGCGUUAACGGAGGAGCCUGCUGGUGCAGAUCUCAUUUUUGAUCAAGGAGAUAAUAUAACGGUACACCAAAACAACUGAUGUAUGAGGUUUAGAUUUUAAACAUACCUAUCAUUGAAACAUGCAAUUCACCAACUGUUCCUGCAUAUAACAGAAGAUUAUAUGAUGAAUCAGACACCUGUUAACUUUACUUCUGGUUUUCAAAUUUUUAAAUAUAAUUUCUUGUGAUGGCAUUCUUUCCUUUUUUAAAUGCAGGGUAAGGUAUCAAGCGAAGAAAUUGCUCGUAUUUGCAUUGCUGCUUUGGAAAGUCCAUAUGCAUGUGACAAAACGUUUGAGGCAAUGCCCUCCCUCCGUCUCUAUUUACUUUAUUUUCUUGUGUGAUAAAAUGAUUUAGUUGCCUUUUCCCUCCAUUCAUGAUCUAUCUAGUAUCUCAUUGAUUGUUAACUUCGAUGGCUGUUUGAACUUUAUGUCAGAGUUCUACGGGCAGUAAACUAAAUGUGACUUCUGAAAAAUGAAAGACAGAAAAUAGAAGUUCUCUGCACACAAAUGUUCUCCAACUUUUUAACCUUGCCACUUGUAAAAGAUUAUAGGUUAUGGAGGAUCCUAUAUCGAAAAAAAGUGCUAUUCCUCUCACCGUUAAUUGAUUGUUAAUUGAUUUUGAGAUGAAAUAUCACAUUAUCUAAUAUAGUUGUAGUAUAGAAUUGAAAUGCCGGUGCAUAUACUUGUUUGUCCUUCAUAGGUAGAGAAAAUUCAUGAUGCUACUUAUCACAUUGACCAUAAUCAACUAGAAAAACAUUUUCACCCAAUAUUUUAAAGUUGUCACACGUUUAAAGAUUGUUUAUUCCAAAGCCCCAAGGAAAUAACAAAAAUCGAAAAGAUUAAGAGCCCCCCCUCCCCCCAGCCCCUACACACAUAAAAAAAAGGAAUAAAAGAAGAUAUAGUGCAAUGGAAGGGAAUGCAGGUAAGAAUCUUUAGCUUUACUGAUUGGACUGAAGCUGAAUGACCACAAAAGAGGCAGAAUACUGAACGUGGGAUUUGAUUACAUAUAUAGAUGAUCUAUUUUAGUUACAAUCAUUAAAGUUCUCACUUCUCAGUGAUAUCAUCUUGCAGGUUAAAAGUGUGAUUCCAUUUGGUGAACCAUUCACUGUGGACCCUGAGAAUCCACCUCUAGAAAAAGACUACAAUAUUUAUUUCAAAACCCUGAAGGAUGGCAUUACCGGGAAAGAACUCCUUGUGCAAACCCCUGCUCCAGUUUGAUUGCGUUCCACGGAAAAAUCUCCUUUCAGUUCGAAAUAUGUAUUUGUUGAAACCCCCAAAUUUGCAUACUUAUAAAAGAAGGGGCAAGAGAGGAAUUUUUUGCGUGUCCCCCUUGACUGUUGGUAUAAAUAAGGAAUGUUUUGGGAUUGUUACCCUAGGUCUAUUUUAGGUAAAAGCUGCUGAAGGCUUUUAGGGAGAGGAUUCCAGCGUUCUCAAAGGAGCUGGGCACUGUUUGCUUGUUGUCUUUAUUUUCCUUUUAACUCUUCUUUGCUGGAUUUCUCAUGUAAUGUUGUGAACUGGAUAAUAUUGCUCUUUCAGUAUAUGAAACAGAGUGUUUUCUCUGUUUUAUUCUCUUGUUAUUGUUGUCUGGGAGUUUUUCUGAGUUUCAGGACAAGGUACCUUAGCAGUAUUAUAGUGUGAGGAAUUGAGAUUUCAUUUUUGGUACACCAAAUUUGGCAGGAGCUUUAGAACAAAAGGCUAAAUAUAAAAUCUUGUCUGUGACUUGUCUUUAACAUCUUUGCAGGUUACUUUUCUUUGUGCAUUCACAGAAACAAUCCACAGUGUUCAUCACUCAUUUUUAGUGGCCAUAUAAUUUAUCUUAUGCUAGUCAAUUGCCUUUAAAUGAUUUGUAAAAAAGCACUUAUAUUCGAGAGAAAUUCAAAUGAUUCAUAAAAAAACACUUACAUGGGAUAGAAAUUCAAAGGAAAUGGGGAGAAAUUAAAUUUUUUUAGUUUUUAUAAUUUUCUUAAUUUUAUUAUUUAUUUAUUAAUUUUAUAUAUUAUAUUAUAUUAUCUUAAUAUUAUAUUUUUUCGAAUUUGGUAUCUUGAUGCGACUAUUUUUACAACACUUUCAUAUUUCUUUUUUGUUUAACCUAUUUAAUUUUUUAUGUAAAAUUGAUGAGAUUUUGAGAAAUUAUUUUGGGGUAAGAAUUGAAAAAUCAAAUUUAAAAGUGUCAAUGGAUUUUUAAGGUAUUUAACCAUUUUAAAAAGUACAUGAUUUCAUUGAUGAGUUAUUUGUACGAAUGACUUCUAUUUAGAGAUCCAGAUGAAAAAUGACUCAAAUUUGAAAAGUGAACGAAAAGUGAUAUCCAAUCUAUAUUAACACUUUACAAAUUUACUAAUAUGCCUAAAAACCACCCACAUGCUUGCAACUAAGAAUGUCACUAGAUGUACGAUGCUUGAUACUUAAUGCUCUAUGUUUUAUGUUAUAUACUAGAUACUAGAAAUGAAAAAAGAUCCAAACAAAAAAGAGUAAGAAAACUAAAAAAAUAGAGGGUAAAAAGAAGCAAAAUAGAAAAGAAGAAGUGGAAAGAAAAGCUGAAAAGAUGGGUUGAAUGCAUUUAAGAUUAAAAUGGUAAUUUUAUUGAACUAGGAGAGAAAGAAAAGACCAAUUCUGAUUGAUUUAAAAAAAAAUACUCACUAUCGUUUGAAGUUAUUGAAGAAAAUUUCAUUAAUUCACGUUUGAUUGAAUUUGAUGUGUAAUGAAGUUGCAAUUAUAUUUUGAUAAGAUGAUUUAGAUCUCAAACAUUGGAAAAAAGAAAUAAAAUUGAUUAUAAAUGGUAAAAAUGUUGUAUUGUUUUAUGAUUUGACCCUCAUUUGAAUUGUUAGCUAAAUUUAAAAAACAAAAAGAAACGUUUUUGUUAAUUCUCCCGUCGUUAAAGCGGAGGGAAGGGUUAGUCGGUCUGAUUGUUGGCGCUUUUUUGUGGUCUCUAUUUGUUUCUAAUUCUCAGUUAUCAAAUAUCAACAACAGACCUUGAACUCUCUUCUUUCAUUUUUGCUUCAAUCAAUAAUGGAAAUCUCUUCCCUUGCCCUCCAACUUUCAUCUCUACCGUCCUCCUCCUCCCUUCUUCUUAAGGUAAUCAAUCACUCUUCAACAACUCCGAUUUCAUCUUUAAUCUUAUAAACCCAUCUCCUGUUUUCUUCAAUUCAACUUCAUUUUGCCGUUGCAGACUCCUUCGUCAUCACCCACUACCACUACUAGAAGGAGUUUCUUCCUAUCAUCUCAACUUCCUAACCCAUUUCUCCAAAUUCUCGCCGGAAACCACUCUUUUCUCCACUUGAGCAUCCCACAAUCCUGCUCCCUCAGACUCCCAACAAAACCCGUUUCUGCAGAAGCUUGGGAUUUUGGUAGGUUUUUGAGAACCUUGUACUUUUUCAAUGGCCCCCCAUCUCCAUCCAAGGUUGGAUUAACUUCUUGGCCUUAUGGCUUUUAUUGGGUUUUUUUUUCACUGAUCAAUUGACUGAAAUUUGACUUGGUUUAUGGUGAAGUUUUUUGAGUCUCUGAUUGCUCAACUGUCGGGUCCAUCGCCGAGCAAACCUGUUGAAGAAAUGGAAACUUCUGGCUUCAUUCUAGUUGCUGGAGCAACGGGUGGGGUUGGGAGAAGGGUGGUUGAUAUCCUGAGGAAAAAAGGCUUGCCAGUUCGAGCUUUAGUAUAUCAGUCUUCCCAUUUUCAGCUUAUUGGUUUUCUAUUUGUUGUGCUUUCAUCAAAUUCAAACCGCAUGCUAUUUGUACAACUUUUGAGAAGAGACAGAAUAAGUAUUGAUAAUGAUGUCUUUUUUCUUUUUCUCAACGGUUAGUUUUAUUUUAUUUUAUCUUUCAG